AGGACGAACGCUGGCGGCGUGCUUAACACAUGCAAGUCGAGCGGAAAGGCCCUUCGGGGUACUCGAGCGGCGAACGGGUGAGUAACACGUGAGCAACCUGCCCUUAGCUUCGGGAUAGCUCCGGGAAACCGGAAUUAAUACCGAAUAUGACUUUGGCUGACAUCAGCAGAAGUGGAAAGUUUUUCGGCUAGGGAUGGACUCGCGGCCUAUCAGCUAGUUGGUGAGGUAACGGCCCACCAAGGCGACGACGGGUAGCCGGCCUGAGAGGGCGACCGGCCACACUGGGACUGAGACACGGCCCAGACUCCUACGGGAGGCAGCAGUGGGGAAUAUUGCGCAAUGGGCGAAAGCCUGACGCAGCGACGCCGCGUGGGGGAUGAAUGCCUUCGGGUUGUAACCCCUUUCAGCAGGGACGAAGCGAAAGUGACGGUACCUGCAGAAGAGCGCCGGCUAACUACGUGCCAGCAGCCGC
rnacentral:rRNA from 1 species